GAUGAACGCUAGCGGCAGGCCUAACACAUGCAGGUCGAGGGAGGAGCCUUCGGGCUUCGACCGGCGUACGGGUGCGUAACGCGUAUACAAUCUGCCUUUCACAUAGGGAUAGCCCGAAGAAAUUUGGAUUAAUACCUAAUGGUAUAUAGAUGUGGCAUCACCUUUAUAUUAAAGCUGAGGCGGUGAAAGAUGAGUAUGCGUUCUAUUAGCUAGUUGGAGAGGUAACGGCUCCCCAAGGCGACGAUAGAUAGGGGUUCUGAGAGGGAUAUCCCCCACACUGGUACUGAGAUACGGACCAGACUCCUACGGGAGGCAGCAGUGAGGAAUAUUGGACAAUGGUCGGAAGACUGAUCCAGCCAUGCCGCGUGCAGGAAGACGGCCUUAUGGGUUGUAAACUGCUUUUGCAGGGGAAGAAUAAGGACUACGCGUAGUUUGAUGACGGUACUCUGCGAAUAAGCAUCGGCUAACUCCGUG
rnacentral:rRNA from 1 species